rnacentral:tmRNA from 1 species
GGGGCUGACCGGUUUUGACAGCAUAGUUCUUUGUAUGUGUAAGCAUGUAGUGCGUUGCGUAAUUAGCACUUAAAUCUGAAUGCGAAAACUUUAAAUGGCAAUACUUCGUAUGCCAUGGCUGCUUAAUUAUUAAUUAAGUAACCAUUAGGGCCGUUGUGUGGGCUCACCUGUUGCCACGCGCUUCCGCCGACUCAAACAUAAAACAGGUUGCUGCGGUUCCAGGCUGUGCGAAUUGCUUAAGACUAUUCAGCUAAGGAAAAAGUUGGUUUGUUUUGCUCCUGCUUUUUCCCGACAAAUAAUGCAAAAAUAAACAUGUAGAAAGCUUACGGCGAAUAUGUUUGGACCAGGGUUCGACUCCCUGCAGCUCCACUU